ensembl:snRNA U6 U6 spliceosomal RNA
GUGCUCCCUUGGGCAGCACAUAUGCUAAAGUGGAACAAUGCAGAGAAGGUUAGCACAGCCCCUCUGCAAGGAUGACAUGCAAAUUCAUGAGGCAUUCCAUACUUUU